rnacentral:lncRNA from 1 species
CUCGUCUGGAGUGUCGCUUCCACCACCAGGCACACGAGCUGGAGCAUGAUGGGGCUGAGCCGGCGGGCCAGGCCCUUGGACAGGUCGUACACGUAGAGCUUCACCGGAUAGAGAUUCGGCGGCUCCAUCAGGACCCGUGGCGGCGGCCACGAUGGCCCUCGGGCACCCGGCAGCGGCUUGGACCUUCCGGUACCCGACCGGGGUGGGGAGAGGAGGGAGCGGGGGACCGAGCCCGGGCCCGGCCUGAGGGCGGGGGAAAGGCGGCCCUGCGCUGCUCGCGCCCCCACACCCGCGACCGGCAACGACUACUGUGAGGUGACAGAGAGAGAGAUCCCAGAGAAUCCGCACGGAACAGGGGAAAGGGGCGGGGACGCACUUUCACGCAUGU